GAAAGGUCAGGACCGAGAAGGGGCCCGUCGGCCAUGUUGGGAAGGUCGGGCUCGGCGUUCAAAAAGGGCGGGUCCAUUACGUUCGGCAACUACAGUCUGCAACACGCGUCUGCCAUGUUGGGGUCUUCUAAGGACAACAGUCUCUAUCUUACACGGAGAAUCAGACAACAGCUCAAGACUGAGAGAUACCCAAGACCCUUCUAUGUGAUGAUGUGACAUCCUCAUGUUGGGAGGAAUUAUAACCCCAAGCAUCUGCCAUGGUAUAAAUUAUUUACAAACUCCAAAAGAAUAGAGUGUGGUCUCAGGAAAUAAGAGGAACUAUAGUAAAACCAUGAUACUGCUUUGCUAUCAGGCAGUAAUCUAAGUUACUUAAAAAUUGAAGUCUGCACCUUUGUGACAAAAUAAAACAUUUCAGGGGACAUGUGGACUUCAUAUCAGACUACAAGGAUCUCAGAAAAACGUAAUGCACAUUACUGUGUGCUGUGGCUUCUUUGCUACAGAUACUGACAUAUGCAUAGUAGUACAGUGCUCUGCCUUCUUCCCAUUUUUCCUCAACAGUAUCUACAGUAUUUUAAUCUCUUCACGUGGGUAGAAUUCUAGUAAUGCAUGCUCCAGGUUACUACAGGUAGAGCUGGAAUUUAACCCUGUAUCUUUCUUCCCCCAUAAAAGUUAGCUGAAUACCUAGUUAUGCAGCUCAUUUUUAUGGAUAUUAACCCUUUUUGCUACAAAGAGGAACGUAUAGGUUUAUAAUAUUAAAAUAGGUAAUUGUAUUGUUGACUUUAUUUUAGUACUGGCUAGUCUCUAAGGAUACAGCGAUACAGUUUUAGUGAAAUAGUCAAUUUUUUUUGCGGCUACUUAAUUUUGAAAAAAAAAAUCAUUCAAGGUGACAUCCAAAUACGUAUCUGAACAAAAUUACUUAUACAAUAGUUCUGCUACUUUAUAUAAAGUAUAACCCAUGUUAAUACUAUCAUAGUCCAUUUCUUGAGCCAAUUGAGAUAGUCAAUGCAUAAGAGAAAGUUUAGAAAUAUAAAAUGAAGUAUAGACAGUUCAACCUACAUUAUCCAUCUUUUUUCUGCAAUACUGCUUAAAACAUUUUUCUAGUGUAAUUUCAUGUUUUUGAUAAAAAUAUAUUACUCAGUUUUGCAACAAUAUUUGUACCAUUUUUAUUUGUAAAAAUAACCAUCUGAAUGCAUUUCAAUAGUAGUUUACAGUCAGAGUACUUCAUUACAUUAAUACAGCAUUCAGUAGUUGAAAAAGAUACUAAGCUGUGCUUGAACAGAUUCAGAUUGGAUUCCAAGUCAUUCACUGGAAUAAGUAUUUUUUUUCCUCAUUUUGUACAGUCAUGACAUUUACUGAAGUCAUUAAACUCCAAUUUACAUAAGAAAACAUUACAGACAAAACCCCACCAAAACCAUCAAACAAUAUUUUAUAUUGUUUAUGACAAAUAUGUUAUCCAAAAUAUAACACUGGCACCAGAUUUGUAUCACCAUGGUUUGUAAAGAUAUAUUGCACAUGCUAAAGCAUAAAAUAAGAUGAAACUACAAAACAUAAGGUUAUUGGCUUUUAAUAUGUAGAUCACUGCAUAAGAAACGCAUAGAAUUACAUUUUAUGCACACUCUCAGAUUGUCACUAUUUUAAAACGUCCUGCCCUAUAAACACUGACCUAUGGUUUACUUUUUGUGUAAUAAGAAAGCCUUUUCAGCACUGCAAAAAUUAUACAUAAUUUCCUAUAGAAAUUUAGCAGAUUAAUUUUCAUUUCAACGCAAGUAGAAUAUACAAAAAGAAAAAAAACUACUUCAUACUUUCCAAAAAGGCUUGAAAUGAAAAUUUACUGGUAUUAUAUUGCUUUGAUAACACUCAAAUGAAAUAAACAAAAGAUAAGUUUCACAAAACACUUCCAGAAUACACAAAUAUAAAAAGGCACUCUAAAGUUUCUUACAUGACAAAAAAAAAUCACAAAGUUGUUAAUUCAUCCUAACGGAUACAUGAUCAAGUUUCUCAACAUUACAAAGGAUAAUAAUCCAUUUUAUGUAUUUGUUCUAAUUUAAUAAUAAAUCUGGCAGCUGUUUACUGCAUAAAAAAGUACCAAACAUACUACGGUGCCCUUUUAGUAAUGAUAAACUGAAUUCCCAUAGCUAUUUCAAUGUAGAAUCAUGGAAGAUUUUAGGCAAUUUGAAGAUUGUAACUUUUGGUAUUUAUGAUAGAGACUUGGGAACUAUUCCUGAAAUGAAGUCCACCUACAACUAUGGUUCAAAUAUAAACUAAAACCCUGAUCCUUCGCACAGAACCAUAGGAACAGACCAGUGCAUUCACACAGAGCCCCAUAUUGUGGACAGGCGCAGAGGUAACCCACAUAACAACAUUAUAACUCGCAGCAUCAGGGCUGAAGUGCCUCAUCCUGUAACAUUUAUGCACAUAAGUAACUUUACUCCUGUGAAUAGUUCCAUUAACUCAGUGGGACUGACUACUACAAGAAUAAAGUUAUGUUUAAAUGUUUGCAAGAGCAAGUCCUAAAUCACAAAUUUAUUUCUAUAAGCGUGUACAAAUUAUUGUACUAAUAAAAAUAUGGGGGUGGGAGUUUCAAAAGUGUUCAACAUUUUACCUAACUCUGUUCCUAUUGACUUCAACAAGAGCAGAAUUAAACCAAAGCUGAGCACUUUUGAAAAUCUAACCCAUACUGUACUUUUUUUUCUCCUAAGAGUACCAUGCUCAAAACAUGGACUUUCCCAGUGCCCUUAAGAGGGUAACCAACAAAGCGUAUGUGAUAUCUUUCCUAUGAUUCCUGUAAUAUAGCAUACUUGAAAUCACCAAUACAACUGGAUGGCCAGUUUGUAGUCAAUGAGAAAAUUUAGAUUUGGUUCCUUUGUCUUUGUUU